rnacentral:lncRNA from 1 species
CACCAAUUUCGAUCUCUUAUCAAUAAAUCAUUCUCAAUUAUCACCCUAAACUUUAUAAACCUUUUUAUCUAAUUCCAUAUCAAAAUAUGGAUCAAGUGAAGCUUCAACAAGCGUUUCUUGCCAAUUACAAAGAAGAGACGAUGACAAUGACUCUCUAACUCUCUUCGCGACAAAAUGUCCCCACGGACCGUGUCUAUCAAAUAUCCCACAGAAUAUCAUCUCUUCUUGGCAUCCAAAUUCCUACAACAGUAAAUUAAACAACCUAUUUAUCACCAAGAACCCUCAAAGAAAGCCACAUUUUCAUAGCUAAAUAUACCUCCCAAACAGAAGCAAAAUUCUUCGACCCAUUGACAUUGAUAAUGCCUGAUGAUCUUCGUAUCAAGUCAUUCUUUUUUGCAUUUUUUUAUCAUAGAUUUCUCUAGCAUCAGAAUUCCCACAAUCGUUCUUCAAACUCUUCAUUUUCUUGGUCCAAAGGGUCCUUGCUAAUCCAUUGAACAUCGACGAUAAAUGCCCCAUUGGCACAAUUCUCUAUCUGCACAAAUUCAAAUCAUACUCAAAUCACACAGAUAGGCAUAUAAUCUAUAUAUAGACAUGAUCACAUCAAUCCAUGAGAAAUUUAACUUCAUUAAGUUGCUAGAGCUUAGCUUAGAUUAAGUACAGUAAAAUAUCAUUCAAG